rnacentral:lncRNA from 1 species
AACCACUGUUAUGAAAAAAAAGGAAUAAUGUCAUACAACUUCGUAUAAACAUAUCAAAUAACAAAUACAUUCCUAUAUAGUUUAAAUUUUCAUAUUUGUCCCUUUAAAAGUCCAGUAAUGUUUAUAUUUACCCUUCUGAUUUGUUAUCAUUACCUCACUGCUUACUUCUUUAAUAGAAAAUAAAUGAAAUGUCAACUUUAGCAAUCACAAGUCCUCCGAAAAGUGUCAAAUAUUAGAAUCACCUAGAAAUAUUCUCUUAAAAAAUCUCCAAUGAUCAUUUUUUUUUCUAUAUAAACUAACAUAAUUCUUCAUCGUUGCAACCUCUUUUCUCACUAUUUUUUCUUCUUUACCUAUCCAAGUGCUCGACAUAGGCGAAACAACACGCAUCGUAAAUGAAUGGGGAUGGAGAAACUUAGUCAUGGAUUCGAAACUAGUACGAAGAAAAGAGAGGAAGAGGAAGAGCAAGAGAAAGAGAAAGAGGAUGAAAAGUUUUCAUUAUUAGAAUUUUAAUCAAACUAGGAUUUCCAUAAG